GACGAACGCUGGCGGCGUGCCUAAUACAUGCAAGUCGAGCGAGUCUGCCUUGAAGAUCGGAGUGCUUCUACUCUGUGAAACAAGAUACAGGCAAGUGGCGGACGGGUGCUGAAGACGUGGGUAACCUGCAGAAGAGGGUGGGAAAACCCCUGGAAACAGAUGCUAAUACCGGAUAUCAACAGAUGAUGCCUAUCAAUUGUUUAAAAGAAGGUUCUGCUAUCACUCUUGGAUGGACCUGCGGUGCAUUAGCUAGUUGGUAGGGUAACGGCUUACCAAGGCGACGAUGCAUAGCCGAGCUGAGAGGCUGAUCGGCCACAUUGGGACUGAGACACGGCCCAGACUCCUACGGGAGGCAGCAGUAGGGAAUCUUCCACAAUGGACGCAAGUCUGAUGGAGCAACGCCGCGUGAGUGAAGAAGGCCUUCGGGUCGUAAAGCUCUGUUGUUGGGGAAGAAGGACAGACGUAGUAACUGGCCUUUGUUUGACGGUAAUCAACGAGAAAGCCACGGCUAACUACGUG
rnacentral:rRNA from 1 species